GGGGAAUCUUCCGCAAUGGGCGAAAGCCUGACGGAGCAACGCCGCGUGAGUGAAGACGGCCUUCGGGUUGUAAAGCUCUGUUAUACGGGACGAAUAAUCUUGUGGUUAAUACCCAUAAGAAGUGACGGUACCGUAAGAGAAAGCCACGGCUAACUACGUGCCAGCAGCCGCGGUAAUACGUAGGUGGCAAGCGUUGUCCGGAAUUAUUGGGCGUAAAGGGCGCGCAGGCGGCUUCUUAAGUCUGUCUUAAAAGUGCGGGGCUUAACCCCGUGAUGGGAUGGAAACUGGGAAGCUCAGAGUAUCGGAGAGGAAAGCGGAAUUCCUAGUGUAGCGGUGAAAUGCGUAGAUAUUAGGAGGAACACCAGUGGCGAAAGCGGCUUUCUGGACGAAAACUGACGCUGAGGCGCGAAAGCCAGGGGAGCGAACGGGAUUAGAUACCCCGGUAGUCCUGGCCGUAAACGAUGGGUACUAGGUGUAGGAGGUAUCGACCCCUUCUGUGCCGGAGUUAACGCAAUAAGUACCCCGCCUGGGGAGUACGACCGCAAGGUUG
rnacentral:rRNA from 1 species